CUCCUUAUAGUUUAAUGGAAGAACACAGGUCUUCUAAACCUGGAAUUAAGGUUCAAAUCCUUAUAAGGAGG
rnacentral:tRNA from 1 species